AGCGCAGGCGGUUCCUUAAGUCUGAUGUGAAAGCCCACGGCUCAACCGUGGAAGGUCAUUGGAAACUGGGGAACUUGAGUGCAGAAGAGGAGAGUGGAAUUCCAUGUGUAGCGGUGAAAUGCGUAGAUAUAUGGAGGAACACCAGUGGCGAAGGCGACUCUCUGGUCUGUAACUGACGCUGAGGCUCGAAAGCGUGGGGAGCAAACAGGAUUAGAUACCCUGGUAGUCCACGCCGUAAACGAUGAGUGCUAAGUGUUGGAGGGUUUCCACCCUUCAGUGCUGCAGCUAACGCAUUAAGCACUCCGCCUGGGGAGUACGGCCGCAAGGCUGAA
rnacentral:rRNA from 1 species